rnacentral:rRNA from 1 species
GAGUAGUUUGGGAAUGCUGCUCUAAAUGGGAGGUAUAUUUCUUCUAAAGCUAAAUACCGGCCAGAGACCGAUAGCGAACAAGUAGAGUGAUCGAAAGAUGAAAAGCACUUUGAAAAGAGGGUUAAACAGCACGUGAAAUUGUUAAAAGGGAAGCGCUUGUGACCAGACUUGCGCCCGGUGAAUCACCCAGCUCUCGCGGCUGGGGCACUUUGCCGGCUCAGGCCAGCAUCAGCUUGCCGUCGGGGACAAAAGCUUCGGGAACGUAGCUCUUCUUCGGGGAGUGUUAUAGCCCGUUGCACAAUACCCUUCGGCGGGCUGAGGUACG